rnacentral:tRNA from 1 species
GUCACAUUGGCGCAAUGGUAGCGCGCAAGACUUCUAUAAAUGAUCUACAGCUAUCAUGAUAUGAUCUUGAGGCUGUGGGUUCGAGUCCCACAUGUGAUG